CGAACAGGUACGAGUCCAGCUGGUUGAUGAUCUCCUGGCUGACGCUGGCCUCGAACUUCCUGGCAAAGAAGGUGGGUCUGGAUGCUUGCUGUGGGUCAGGACGGACGGACAAGAGACAAGGAGGGAUGAGCGUGGAAAACCAAGGUACUAGGCUUCUCGACUGAGAAGGAGGGAAAGGUGUGGUCGAUGAUGUCAUCAGGAGGGUGUGACAUAAAAAAAACCCAGAGCUCAUGGUGGUCCCCAGCAGCUCCAGCGACCAUGAAACCUCAUCGUUAAGAAAAACCCUCGAGGACUGACCAGGCUUCAGCGGAGUCAGAUCUUACUGCGGGCUUUCUCUGGGACUGAAACCCAACGACCUGCAUCCUGACACAACGAGCUGACCACUAGUUACAGAGUCAGGCGGCGCUCGUUUAGAGGAUCAGAGCGGGACUUGUUCCUUCACUCUGCACGAAGGAGGUCAGCCAAAUAUGAUUAAAGCAGCUGCUCUCUUGAUGGAGCCGUUUCAGCUUCACUGAGCCUUUUUUUUUUAAAUAUAUUUUUUAGUAGUUAUCAAGUUGGAAGUUUUUAUAGUAUUUCAUAGUUUCAUAACACACAGGCUCAUGACUGGAGCUGUGGAUGACAUCACUGCCCUCCUUUCUCUCCUCAACACUCUGGGGAUUGGUGCAAUAAUAAGAACUAUUUAGGACUGCAGAGACCUUCAGUAUUUUAAUUAUCUGUUCAUUUAGUCGAUGCAGUUUUUAAUUAUUCAGGACUCUGUUUGGUGUCUUGUUUUUAGAAUUUAAUAUUUUCUGUUUUCACUGUUUGUUAAAUGUGAAAACUUAUAGUCGGGAGCACCUAAUUUUCUCUCAGGGGGUAAAUAAAGUAUCCAUCCAUCCAUCCAUCCAUC